ensembl:lncRNA
CCUACUCUGCUGCAGAUCGGUGGGCUGCCAUGAAUGGCACAGUGACAUUACUAUUUUUCUGUUAAUUGAUUAACGGGCUAACAGAGAUGCAGGCAUGAAGGCUUGCACCAGCAGCAGGCUGCCAAGCCACAGAACCAGCAGUGAUGUUUGGUAAAUUGAUCUGAGCCCAUAGGUAACACAGAGAAAAUAGAGUUUGUAGAGAUGUCUGCAGCUACAACAGCCAUCAAAGAACAGGCCACACAAGUCUCUGAAAGGUAUAUGAAGUAAAUCUGGUACAUUUGAUAAUAGAAAAGGCCUGAACCCAUCUGCCAUACUAUUUCUAAGGUGCUGCUUCCGAGCAAUCUCCAUGCCAUGUUGGAGAAGAAUAUCCACACCGCACUGUGAUGGGUCCCCUGUGCUGACAUGUGCCUCUGUGCUAAACCAAUGUGUUAGAAUCAUGCAUCAAGAUGUUUAAUGGUGACCACUGGAUCACAGCAAAUGUUGUAUGUGCCCCUACCUUAUCCCUUCACUGAGUUUGGACAUGAGAGUUUUUCGCUGUUUGCUGACAGGUAUAUGCGUGCACAAACAAGUCGAGACAAAUCCUUUUGGAUCAUCCCAGCCUUGUGCCCUGGUGCUGAGUUUCUGAUCCCAUAGCAAAAAGAUGGGUUGGGUGAUGUAUCUGUUCAGUAUUCAGUGUUUUUUGCUUCAUCAGCUGUAGAAGAUGGUUUUAUUUUUGCUGGAGACUUUCUCAUAAGGGAUAUUUGCUUUGGCCAAAAGGGAAUUUUGUCCUGCUUUUGUCAAGAGAUAAAGGAAAACUUCUUGUGCAUGUUUGCGACCUCACUGAGGACUUCACUGGGAAUGAAGAGCAAACCACUGAAGGAGCGAGGAGAGCAUUUUGAGAUAAGGUCCAAACCCAUCAUACAGUACUGGAUGUCCAAACAAGUGUGGAAGACCAAAAUGGGUUGAUGCAGCGUAGUCUGCCCAUGGAAAACUUCUCUCUCAGGCCCCUUGAUUUGGAGUUUCUCGUGCUUUGAAGCCUGAGGGUUCACAGCCCAUUUCCAUGAAUUCUGACCCUUGCUGAUUCUCCUCCUAAAACUUACCAGUGGGUGAAACCCCCUUGGGAAUGUUGGAGACCUCGAGUCUAUAACCACAGCCCUGCGGGGUGAGCUGAGAUGCCUGGCUGAAGGCACUUGGGUGUCUCAGCUUCCCCAGCAAACGCAUAGGAAUGAUGCCAUGGGGAAGGGACAUCCUUCCACAUUUGUGACACCAAGGGCUACCUCAGAGCGUGGCACUAGAGUAGCAUUGGCACUAGUUAGUAGUUAGCAUUGGCAGCUGUCCAUGAUGCUUUAAAUCCCACUCUCUUUCCCACUUCAGCAGACUUUUGAAAGAGGAAUUAAGCAGGUUAAUUGCAUGAAAAUUGAGUGAGAAAUAACUUGAAUGUCUGAGCUUCUGAAACAGCAUGACAGCAACCAGGAAAACCAAUCCUGGCGUGGAUUUUUGGACCAGUGCUGGUUCUGAAUUCUCUCUCAGCUGACUAGAUCUUCCCUCUGUAAAAACAAGCUAAAAUCCUGAAAUUGCCCUCCUCAGAAAAUAACCUCAUAAAACUCUGAACGAGAAGUAUAAUAUUUAACUUUGAACCCCGUGAAUGUUUAGCUUCCUGACUCUUGGGAAAAUAUUAGAUAGAUUCCCAAUUUCAACCUGAAGCAGUUUAUUUGGCUGCUGUUCACAAGUCAGACACAGCAAUAAUCAAGGAAAUUUUGUUUGAUUCAGGUUGGGUAAUAUUGCCUGAGGGAUAACAUCAUUUUUACUUCCAUACAUCCAGCACUGGCACAAAACAGCAUGGAACAGCCUUUGAAGACCGCAUCCCACAUCUUCAUGUCACAGGCGGCCAGUCCUGGCACAGGCGCACUGCUUCCCACAAUGCCACUGAUGUCUGCGUGCCCAGCUGGGCUCCCUGUGACCUGCCACCAUGGCGAUGAUGUCUUUGGAGGAGGACAGAGCACUGAAGGGCUUGGCAGCCUUCUCUGGGAUGUGGGAAGAGCUGAGAUGGGAGAUGACUCCGAGAGCUGUGGACAUGGAAGCAGGCUAGCUUGAAGGAUUGCUUCGACCAUGUUAGCGCUUACAUAAAAAUGAAGUUAAAGUUAAGGAAAGGAAAGUGGACUAAAAACAGUGUUAAUCAACACAAAGUGACUUGUAGAGGUGUUUGGAGCAGCUGAUGACAGAACUCAUGUCUGGCGAUGAGAGG